GAUGAACGCUGGCGGCGUGCCUAAUACAUGCAAGUCGAGCGAACAGAUAAGGAUCUUGCUCCUUUGACGUUAGCGGCGGACGGGUGAGUAACACGUGGGUAACCUACCUAUAAGACUGGGAUAACUUCGGGAAACCGGAGCUAAUACCGGAUAAUAUUUCGAACCGCAUGGUUCGAUAGUGAAAGAUGGUUUUGCUAUCACUUAUAGAUGGUCCCGCGCCGUAUUAGCUAGUUGGUAAGGUAACGGCUUACCACGGCGACGAUACGUAGCCGACCUGAGAGGGUGAUCGGCCACACUGGAACUGAGACACGGUCCAGACUCCUACGGGAGGCAGCAGUAGGGAAUCUUCCGCAAAGGGCGAAAGCCUGACGGAGCAACGCCGCGUGAGUGAUGAAGGUCUUCGGAUCGUAAAACUCUGUUAUUAGGGAAGAACAUACGUGUAAGUAACUGUGCACGUCUUGACGGUACCUAAUCAGAAAGCCACGGCUAACUACGUG
rnacentral:rRNA from 1 species